GGACUUGAGGGCAGCCUGGCUGCGAUGUCUGUCACUCCAUUGAUCACCAGGGUUGCCUCGGCUGAUCUGGCUGGCUAGGCGGGUGUCUCCUUCCUCCCUUACUACUCACUGGGUGUCCCUCCCAAUGUGGCAUGCUGGGUCAGAGGAUGACUCAGUGACGCCUGAAGGACAUCUGGAAGGGAUGAGUGCCCGAGGCCAAGUGGAAGGCCAACCAGGAGGGGUCUUUGAGCAAGGGCAGUGUACAGCUGAGAGACAGCAGGAGUCACCAUGGAGUGGAACUUGGCACAGUCACUUACUUAAAAUCAACUUUCCAACCGAGUAUGAAGCUC
rnacentral:sRNA from 1 species